GGUUUUUUGCAAUUGGAUUGAGAACAACGUACAAACCUUAUCGAUAAACAAUUGGAGGGCAAGUCUGGUGCCAGCAGCCGCGGUAAUUCCAGCUCCAAUAGCGUAUAUUAACGUUGUUGCAGUUAAAAAGCUCGUAGUUGAAAUGAAGGGUAGUUGUGUAAUGAAUACAUUCGUGUAUUUUGUUAUUCUACUACCCUCCUUCUAAAUUCGAUAUAUGAGUAUUAAUUUACUUGUAUAUGGUUUUAGACCUUUACUGUGAGAAAAUUAGAGUGUUCAAAGCAGGCAUUUGCUUGAAUAUAUUAGCAUGGAAUAAUCAUGUAUGAUUUUCAUGAUGUAUUUGAUUGGUUUGGUUCAUGAGAAUAAGAUUAAAAGGGACAGUUGGGGGUAUUCAUAUUCAAUAGUCAGAGGUGAAAUUCUCGGAUUUAUGGAAGAUGAACAAGUGCGAAAGCAUUUACCAAGGAUGUUUUCAUUAAUCAAGAACGAAAGUUAGGGGAUCGAAGAGGAUUAGAUACCCUCGUAGUCUUA
rnacentral:rRNA from 1 species